GAUGAACGCUGGCGGCGUGCCUAAUACAUGCAAGUCGAGCGAACAGACGAGGAGCUUGCUCCUCUGACGUUAGCGGCGGACGGGUGAGUAACACGUGGAUAACCUACCUAUAAGACUGGGAUAACUUCGGGAAACCGGAGCUAAUACCGGAUAAUAUAUUGAACCGCAUGGUUCAAUAGUGAAAGACGGUUUUGCUGUCACUUAUAGAUGGAUCCGCGCCGCAUUAGCUAGUUGGUAAGGUAACGGCUUACCAAGGCAACGAUGCGUAGCCGACCUGAGAGGGUGAUCGGCCACACUGGAACUGAGACACGGUCCAGACUCCUACGGGAGGCAGCAGUAGGGAAUCUUCCGCAAUGGGCGAAAGCAUGACGGAGCAACGCCGAGUGAGUGAUGAAGGUCUUCGGAUCGUAAAACUCUGUUAUUAGGGAAGAACAAAUGUGUAAGUAAAUAUGCACGUCUUGACGGUACCUAAUCAGAAAGCCACGGCUAACUACGUG
rnacentral:rRNA from 1 species